GUUUUCCCAGGAAAGUCCCCGCACCCCUCUGGCGUCUCUGAAAUGGCACUGGUGUAAAGGCUGAUCAACAAUGCUCCAGUCUCUCACCAGUGUAACUCACAGCCUAUACACAGCGUGGCGAGAACGCAGCGUUUCCCCUUUGAAAGAGGGCCUGAAGGCUUCUGUGACUGGAGCUGCAUGAACGGACCAUCUGUUUUCUGCUCCACUUACAUUCUGCCUGGAGUUGUUCAGCACUACAUUCCUGCAGCUUCCCCUCCGCAGUGCCCCAAGCAGUGCUCACUGUCAAUGCCAGGGCCUAAUUAGGACACCGAUUCUCUGUGCAGAUCCACACGUCUGGGUUAUCCUCAACCAUUUACUAAAUCCUUGAAGUAAGAGAAUAAGGAUGAAUGAAUGAAUCAGUGUCCACAUUAGAUUCAUGUGGGUACAAGCUUUGUACAGCAAUGAUGUUUUUCUAUUGCAUCCUUUAUUCUUUUAUCAGUUAUCUGUCUGGUAGCUGAUCAAACUGAAUGAACAAUGAAAAAUGCAUGUUAUUGAAUUAUUGAUCAUGUGUGGUGUAGCAAAUUAUGGGCCAUAUUGAUGACAUCCUCAGCUACUGUUUUGCACUCUUAUUUUAGUCAAUAUGUCAAACCUUGCUCUGAAUAACAAAAAGUUUUAGCCCUAAUUUUUUUUAAUUAUGUUUCAUGCAGAAUAAAAGAACCAUGCACCCAAAAA